AUACGGAGGGGGCUAGCGUUGUUCGGAAUUACUGGGCGUAAAGCGCGUGUAGGCGGAUCGUUAAGUCAGGGGUGAAAGCCCGGGGCUCAACCCCGGAACUGCCCUUGAUACUGGCGAUCUAGAGUCCGGAAGAGGUGGGCGGAAUUCCCGGUGUAGAGGUGAAAUUCGUAGAUAUCGGGAGGAACACCAGUGGCGAAGGCGACUCACUGGUCCGGUACUGACGCUGAGACGCGAAAGCGUGGGGAGCAAACAGGAUUAGAAACCCUAGUAGUCC
rnacentral:rRNA from 1 species